GACGAACGCUGGCGGCGUGCCUAAUACAUGCAAGUAGAACGCACAGUUUAUACCGUAGCUUGCUACACCAUAGACUGUGAGUUGCGAACGGGUGAGUAACGCGUAGGUAACCUGCCUGGUAGCGGGGGGUAACUAUUGGAAACGAUAGCUAAUACCGCAUAAUAUUAAUUAUUGAAUGAUAAUUAAUUGAAAGGUGCAAUUGCACCACUACCAGAUGGACCUGCGUUGUAUUAGCUAGUAGGUGAGGUAACGGCUCACCUAGGCGGAGAUACAUAGCCGGGCCUAGGAGGUUAUUCGCCACACUUGGAACUGGACAACGCCCAGACCUCCUAGGGGAGCAGCAGGAGGGAAUUUUCGGCAAUGGAGGAAAGUCUGAACGAGCAACGCCGCGGGAGUGAAGAAGGGUUUUGGGUCGGAAAGGUCUGUUGUAAGAGAAGAAAGGGUGUGAGGGUGGAAAGUUCACACUGUGACGGUACCUUACCAGAAAGGGACGGCUAACUACGUG
rnacentral:rRNA from 1 species